AGUGAACGCUGGCGGUAGGCCUAACACAUGCAAGUCGAACGGCAGCACAGUAAGAGCUUGCUCUUACGGGUGGCGAGUGGCGGACGGGUGAGGAAUACAUCUGAAUCUACUUUUUCGUGGGGGAUAACGUAGGGAAACUUACGCUAAUACCGCAUACGACCUACGGGUGAAAGCAGGGGAUCUUCGGACCUUGCGCGAUUGAAUGAGCCGAUGUCGGAUUAGCUAGUUGGCGGGGUAAAGGCCCACCAAGGCGACGAUCCGUAGCUGGUCUGAGAGGAUGAUCAGCCACACUGGAACUAAGACACGGUCCAGACUCCUACGGGAGGCAGCAGUGGGGAAUAUUGGACAAUGGGCGCAAGCCUGAUCCAGCCAUACCGCGUGGGUGAAGAAGGCCUUCGGGUUGUAAAGCCCUUUUGUUGGGAAAGAAAAGCAGCAGGUUAAUACCCCGCUGUUCUGACGGUACCCAAAGAAUAAGCACCGGCUAACUUCGUG
rnacentral:rRNA from 1 species